rnacentral:misc_RNA from 1 species
CUAAGGAGCACUUCUCCACGACGCUUCACACAGGUGAAUGUGGUUGUGGCAGAGACCAUGUCGGACUCGAAUGUAGUCCGGUGGAAGCUCAUGGGUGGAACGCUGACAUGUGCCGGUAUUUAUCUCUGCUGCUGAGUCGGUGGAGCGCCGGAUUGUAGUCGACACACUGUUGGGUCCUGAAAGAACAGACGUUCUUUCCAGGCAAAAAAUACGAUCCGCUCGGAUUUCCAUGUGAUACCGGCCCUUUUGUGGGGGUGCUGGUCCUGGGUUCGGGUUCGAGUGGGUGUGUUGUUUGAGAACUGCACAGUGGACGCGAGCAUCUUUGUUUGUAAGUGUUGAAGAGCGUUC